AUGAAUAUUAUUGAACUUUGAAGACAGCGUUCCUAACUCGAUAGGUUUGUGGGUGAAGGAAGCGGAAUUUCAAACGGUGAACAUUUUACUGUAGCCACUACUAGCGUAGUGGACCAAGAUGAUUCGCUACAAAGCCAGCACUGCCCUAGUUGGGCGUUGCAGUACGUUUCUGGCUAGAUUCCCUGUGGAUGGUCAGCAACAUUGCGGGUACAACACAGUAGCAGGGUCCAUUGAAUAUCAGGCAAGAAGAGCUUCAAAACGGUUUGUACACAGCCCUCAACUGCAUCCACAACAGCGUUUUCCUGCAGCUCAAUGGCAGCAGAUUCGUAGCAACUGUACGGCGGAAAACGCGUCCGCUACCAGCGCUAGUGCUUCGCCGAUAGCUCUUCCGGACGAUCUGCGGCAGCGAUAUGACGAAGACGGCUAUGUCAUCAUCCCCGACUUGCUCAGCAAACAACAGGUAACGAGCCUGAUGGAUGAAAUGGAAGCAAUAUGUCGCGGGCUGAGAGGAGACAUUCCCGGUGUACAGGUUACUAAUGACAGUAUGUCACGUACGGAGGUGCUGAAGAAAUACUUGUGCAUUCACUUUCCGCACAAGAUUUCCACAGUUAUCCGUGAUCUGACCAGGGAGAGCAACACGGUAGCGGUGCUGCAGAAGCUGCUGGGACCCAACAUCAAGUGCAUGCAGACAAUGAUGUUCAUGAAAGCGUCCGGCAAGCCUGGCCAAGCCUGCCACCAGGAUGAGUUCUACAUUCCCACAAGAGACCGGUCUUUGUGCGCCUCCUGGAUUGCACUGGACAAUGUGACGAUAGAGAACGGCUGUGUGUGGGUAAUCCCGGGCUCGCAUCGACCUGGAAUCAUCUGGCCGGCGAAGCAGCACAAUGACGAGCGCUUUGACUUUGCGGAUGCCAGCUACGGAUACCCGUAUUCCGAGGCGGACUUCAUACCCGUGCAGCUUCCAGCCGGGUCUGCCGUCUUCUUCAACGGGUAUUUGCUUCACCGAUCGCUACCGAAUAAGUCGCACGGUUUUCGCAGAGCCUUUGCCAACCACUACAUGAGGGCAGAAUCCUUUUUGCCGUGGACGAAUGAUGGGCGCUUUGACAUCAAGGAUGACAUGAGGGACUUCCUGCUGGUGUCAGGCAUUGAUCCCUAUGCGGACUUCAAGCCCAUGCAGAGUUUCACGAAGCCGUUUCUGCGUGGCGAGACUGCUGCAGCCGCUUAGAAGGAAGGUGGUUGUGUGCCAGUACUGUACUAGUGCGGACGCCUCGGUGUCACUUUGGGCAGAACGCAGAGCCGGUUUACUUACUGACCUAUACUGCAUGCGCGUGUUGCAUGGGACAGCUUGUAUUUCAGUGCGCUCCCGUUGCUUGCCGUUGCAUACCGUGUCACCUUCCUUUACAGCUUUCUCAAAGGUUGUGUGGAGCUCCUGAGUGGUGAGUAAGGGCAUCCUUCCCUUGCUGCUUUCUGCCACAGUGCAUGUGCGUGUACAGGUAUGUGUGUGUGUGUGUGUGUGUGUGUGUGUGUGUGUGUGUGUGUGUGUGUGUGUGUGUGUGUGUGUGUGUGUGACAGUGUGUGUGUGUGUGUGUGUGUGUGUGUGUGUGUGUGUGUGUGUGUGUGUGUGUGUGUGUGGUGUAUGUGUGUGUGUCUGUGUGCGCGCUGGUAGGCUUAGCGAAUCCAAAUCGUGAGAACGUUUUAUGCCCACUGCUCGUGGGCAUAUUGAAUUGAUUACUUGAUUAAUUUUUCAGCCAAUCAUUAUAUUAAUCUACCAAUCCUACCGGUAGUAGGACCAAAAACUCUAAAUCAGCGCAAUGAAUGUGUGCGCUGCACGCAUGUGUAUACAUGUCUGCAAAUAUGUUAGUCAGCAACAGGCAACUUAAUCUCUAAUAAUUACCUGUAUGCCACAGGGAACUUUCACCCACUGCUUUACCGCGUGAAUCCAAACUCAUAUUCAGCGGGUCAUCAGUAUCAAUAUUAUCAAGAGUACAAAACCCCUGGGGCUAUGUGCUCUUGAUAACUAUUGUCAACAUACUCAGAACUCUAUCGAUACUUGGAUUCAUAGACUCCGCCGUAGCAUUGCUGUUGAGGAAGUAAUUCGCGAUCAACCAUCCUGCAUCGUAGAUCUACAUGAUUGUAUUAUGAUCUACAUGAUUGUAUUAUGAGCAAGUCGGGACUCACGGUGUGAGUUCUCGGCAGACAGUAGUCAGUAGGUCUACCACCGUGCGUGUCAAGUCGACGAGUUGCUAGACUGCAAAUCAUCAGCAUGUGUCCUCCGCCAGUCAGUGCACUUUAAUUUAUUAGAGGGCCACACGGGACAGAAGACGGCUCGUUUGCCCGCUCUCACACUACGCUCCCAUCUCGCUCCACAACCGGGAUAGGACGGUAAAGUUAGUUUCCCGCCUCAUCUCCACCCAGGAAUCUUCCUCCUUUUGCCAGCAGUUGUGCUGUGUUGAGGAGCACAUAAUCAUGAUGAUUGCCCGAGAUGUCCCCUUGAAGACAAAAGCUGGCAAGUUAUCAUCAGUCUCUGUGGUCGAUAUUCACUCCUCCUUCACUAUAAUGCUAGUCAGUGACUAUCUCUAUUGUUAUUGUGUCUGGGGUCGAGACUACUAACUCUUGAUUCUACCAAGAAUAUAAUAAUAGCCAUCUCCUACAUGACAGUGUCAUGUACUGGUAUUAGUCCGGCACCCAAUAUACAUUGUAGAUUAGUUAUCAUCAUGGUAUUAUGUAAGCCUUGUUUGGUAGAUCGGUUGACAGUACAGUAUGUUGCAAGAGGUUCGAGUCCUGGUGGGUCUAGCAUUUUUUCCCUUUUUAGACACUUCAACAUCUCCUUCUCUUCUUUCUUUUCACCUCCAAUGUAAACUUGACACCAUCCACACCACGUCUCACUAACUUUAAUGUCACACUAAUAUCACGCUAUGCUACUUUCCUGGGCAUAAGUUUGUAGCCAGAAGAGUACAGAUAA